GACGAACGCUGGCGGCGUGCCUAACACAUGCAAGUCGAGCGAAGGGAGUACUACGGUACGAACUUAGCGGCGGACGGGUGAGUAACGCGUGGACAAUCUACCCUGUAGACUGGGAUAACACCUCGAAAGGGGUGCUAAUACCGGAUAAUGUCGAGAAGCGGCAUCGCUUUUCGAAGAAAGGAGGGAAUCCGCUAUAGGAGGAGUCCGCGUCCCAUUAGCUAGUUGGUGAGGGUAACGGCCCACCAAGGCGACGAUGGGUAGCCGGCCUGAGAGGGUGAACGGCCACACUGGAACUGAGACACGGUCCAGACUCCUACGGGAGGCAGCAGUGGGGAAUAUUGUGCAAUGGGGGAAACCCUGACACAGCGACGCCGCGUGAGUGAAGAAGGCCUUCGGGUCGUAAAGCUCAAUAGUAUGGGAAGAAAGAAAUGACGGUACCAUACGAAAGCCCCGGCUAACUACGUG
rnacentral:rRNA from 1 species